AUGGAUGGGAAACUUGAUGUAAAGCAGCGGCAGAUAUCAAUAAAUUCUCUUAAUGACCCUAAGAGUGAUGUAAAAGUGCUUCUUGCAUCAAUAAAAGCCUGUUCAGAAGGAAUAAGUCUUAUAGGGGCCUCAAGAGUGGUUUUGCUUGACGUUCUCUGGAAUCCCUCAGUAGAACAGCAAGCCAUCAGUCGAGCCUACAGAAAUGGUCAGACUAAAUUUGUUCAUGUUUACUGUCCAGUGUCAUCAAAAUGGGAGGUGGACAAGAUCGAACAGCAGACGAAAAAAAAAUAUCAUUCAGAUGUUAUUAUGUCUAGGAAUAAAGCGAAUACUUUCAAGAUGGAUCCUUCAUGUUCUGUGUCAGAGGAUACCAUACUAGAAUCCAUGGUUAAGCAUGAGUGCCUCCGUCAUAUUUUUGAAAAACUAUCUCAUGCACCACGUGUUGUGCCUCCUACUACAUGCUUUAAUUCUCGUAACCAACCUUCAAAACUGAGCUGUUAGAUCGGUUGGAGCUUUUUUUGGGUUGUGAAUGACACUUGUUAGGACUUACAGUGGAGCCUAGAAGAAUUUUUGCAGUCAUCCUUUUGUGAGGUGCUUCAUGACAGGCAUUUUGAUGCAAUUCAAGAACGGCAGAUUCACGCCUGGUUAAUGAAGAAUGCUGAUAAGAGUUUUCAUCACCCACAGGAUGUUCUUGUAAAAUUGUUUUGCCAGACAAUUUUUUGUUUCAGAACUGUGAAAAAUCUCAGGCUCUUUCAUCUGUGUAGCAUAUUCCUCAACACAAUUGUAUUUUGGCUCAAGUCUCUUGGUAUAUAUGAUUCCACUUGUAGAUAGUAAAUUGGCUUCAUGCUUA